CCUACGUGAGGCAGCAGUGAGGAAUAUUGGUCAAUGGGCGCGAGCCUGAACCAGCCAAGUAGCGUGAAGGAUGACUGCCCUACGGGUUGUAAACUUCUUUUAUAAAGGAAUAAAGUGAGGCACGUGUGCCUUUUUGUAUGUACUUUAUGAAUAAGGAUCGGCUAACUCCGUUCCAGCAGCCGCGGUAAUACGGAGGCUCCGAGCGUUAUCCGGAUUUAUUGGGUUUAAAGGGAGCGUAGAUGGGUUGUUAAGUCAGUGGUGAAAGUUUUCGGCUCAACCGUAAAAUUGCAAUUGAUACUGGCAGUCUUGAGUACAGUUGAGGUAGGCGGAAUUCGUGGUGUAGCGGUGAAAUGCUUAGAUAUCACGAAGAACUCCGAUUGCGAAGGCAGCUUACUAAACUGCCACUGACAUUGAUGCUCGAAAGUGUGGGUAUCAAACAGGAUUAGAUACCCCUGUAGUC
rnacentral:rRNA from 1 species